GACGAACGCUGGCGGCGUGCUUAACACAUGCAAGUCGAACGGAAAGGCCCCCACCUUGGUGGGGGUGCUCGAGUGGCGAACGGGUGAGUAACACGUGGGUGAUCUGCCCUGUACUUCGGGAUAAGCUUGGGAAACUGGGUCUAAUACCGGAUAGGACCAUGGUUUAGUGUCUCAUGGUGGAAAAAUUAUUGUUUUGGUGCAGGAUGAGCUCGCGGCCUAUCAGCUUGUUGGUGGGGUAAUGGCCUACCAAGGCGUCGACGGGUAACCGGCCUGAGAGGGUGGACGGCCACAUUGGGACUGAGAUACGGCCCAGACUCCUACGGGAGGCAGCAGUGGGGAAUAUUGCACAAUGGGCGCAAGCCUGAUGCAGCGACGCCGCGUGGGGGAUGACGGCCUUCGGGUUGUAAACUCCUUUCGUUAGGGACGAAGCCACACCUUUUUUGGGUGUGGUGACGGUACCUUUGUUAAGAAGCACCGGCUAACUACGUG
rnacentral:rRNA from 1 species